UCCUCUUAACUUUAGAGAUGGAAAUCAGUCUAUUAAGAAGAGAGUCCAGAAGGAGAGAGCAGACUCCCCUGGACCCAGCUGUGUCUCCUUGAAGAGCGACCGCUCUAUGGAUCAUCCUCCUAACUUUAGAGAUGGAAAUCAGUCUAUUAAGAAGAGGUGAGGAUUUAUCAGAUAUUAUACAACUAUAUCUAUCAGACAUCCUUUAAUCCUGGUUCUUGUUUUUCUAUAAGAGUCCAGAAGGAGAGAGCAGACUCCCCUGGACCCAGCUGUGUCUCCUUGAAGAGAGGCCGGUCUCUGGAUCGUCCUCCUGACCUUAAAGAUGGACGCCCUUCAAGAGAGGAGAGGCGUCCCCAGAAGAGGUCAAAGGUUACCAGUGCUCAGUCUGUACAGCAGAAUCAAACAGAGCUGAUCAAGGUGUGUAAAUGAAAAACUACCUUUGACUUCAGCUCUAGACAGGGGUGACCUAAGGGGGGGGGUAGUAUAGUCUACAUAUUUCACCUCUCUCUCUUUAUUGCAUGGUUCAGUCUUGCGUGGAUCCAGUUUUCAGCACAGAGUCUUCCACUCGUUGCGCUUACAAGCAGAACAGACUGUCAGUAGUUUGACACGUCGUCGUUGAGGUAGAAGUCGGGUAUCAGAAACAGAAACCUGAGGGGGAGGAAAAGGUCACCCAGUUUGUACAAAUAAAGGUUUUUAUUUAUUCACCUUCCUGUGGUGCCCAUUAUCACUGAGCUACCUAGUGAAUCAUAGAAUCUUAUAUUAAUCAAAUUGUUCUUCAUCAAACAUGAAAUUCAUGAAUAUGAAUCAAUGAAAGAGGUAGACAGGUGGAUGAACCGGGUCUACACAAAAUUUCUUCUACUUAUCAACUAUACAGCCAGGGUAUGUUUGUGAAUGCUAGGGCUGUAACGAUACGCUUAUCGAAACCGAAAUCGCGACACUCAAAGCCACGAACCUGUCUCGCGGUGUGAGAAGGCAGAAGCGCGAUAUGCCCUU